rfam:Tetraodon nigroviridis, WGS project CAAE01000000 data, contig: CNS0BZ4F, chromosome: 11
GUGGGCUACGGGGACAUGUGUCCCAUCACAAUGGGUGGCAAAAUGGUCGGCACCCUCUGUGCCAUCGCUGGGGUGCUGACCAUCGCCUUGCCUGUUCCAGUCAUCGUCUCCAAC